ensembl:snoRNA
CUGGCCCUGAAUCAAGGCCAGCAGCUUCCUGAUGUGGUUAGUUUCAAGUAGGAGCCUAAAAAGACGUCUUUCUAUAGCCUGUUGGCCAUUUCAGAAUUUAGGCAGUGAAAUGGUCAAUUCAUUAGAAACAAACAGCU